AUUGAACGCUGGCGGCAGGCUUAACACAUGCAAGUCGAGCGGAGAUGAGGUGCUUGCACCUUAUCUUAGCGGCGGACGGGUGAGUAAUGCUUAGGAAUCUGCCUAUUAGUGGGGGACAACAUUCCGAAAGGAAUGCUAAUACCGCAUACGUCCUACGGGAGAAAGCAGGGGAUCUUCGGACCUUGCGCGAAUAGAUGAGCCUAAGUCGGAUUAGCUAGUUGGUGGGGUAAAGGCCUACCAAGGCGACGAUCUGUAGCGGGUCUGAGAGGAUGAUCCGCCACACUGGGACUGAGAAACGGCCCAGACUCCUACGGGAGGCAGCAGUGGGGAAUAUUGGACGAUGGGGGGAACCCUGAUCCAGCCAUGCCGCGUGUGUGAAGAAGGCCUUAUGGUUGUAAAGCACUUUAAGCGAGGAGGAGGCUACUGAGACUAAUACUCUUGGAUAGUGGACGUUACUCGCAGAAUAAGCACCGGCUAACUCUGUGCCAGCCGCCGCUGUAA
rnacentral:rRNA from 1 species